rnacentral:rRNA from 1 species
GACGAACGCUGGCGGCGUGCUUAACACAUGCAAGUCGAACGGAAAGGCCCUGCUUUUGUGGGGUGCUCGAGUGGCGAACGGGUGAGUAACACGUGAGUAACCUGCCCUUGACUUUGGGAUAACUUCAGGAAACUGGGGCUAAUACCGGAUAGGAGCUCCUGCUGCGUGGUGGGGGUUGGAAAGUUUCGGCGGUUGGGGAUGGACUCGCGGCUUAUCAGCUUGUUGGUGGGGUAGUGGCUUACCAAGGCUUUGACGGGUAGCCGGCAUGAGAGGGUGACCGGCCACAUGGGGACUGAGAUACGGCCCAGACUCCUACGUGAGGCAGCAGUGGGGAAUAUUGCACAAUGGGCGGAAGCCUGAUGCAGCAACGCCGCGUGCGUGAUGACGGCCUUCGGGUUGUAAACCGCUUUCGCCUGUGACGAAGCGUGAGUGACGGUAAUGGGUAAAGAAGCACCGGCUAACUACGUG